GACGAACGCUGGCGGCGUGCUUAACACAUGCAAGUGGAGCGACGAACCGGGGCUUGCCCCGGGGCAGAGCCGCGAACGGGUGAGUAACACGUGGGUAACCUGCCUCAAUGAUUGGGACAACCCCGGGGAAACUCGGGCUAAUACCAAAUGUGUUCACUCCUUCUAAGGGGAGUGAGGAAAGGAAGCUUCGGCCUCCGCAUUGAGAUGGGCCCGCGGCCCAUUAGCUUGUUGGUGAGGUAACGGCUCACCAAGGCUUCGAUGGGUAGCUGGUCUGAGAGGACGAUCAGCCACACUGGGACUGAGACACGGCCCAGACUCCUACGGGAGGCAGCAGUGGGGAAUCUUGCACAAUGCGCGAAAGCGUGAUGCAGCAACGCCGCGUGGGGGAAGACGGCCUUCGGGUUGGUAAACCCCUUUCCAGUUGGGACGAAGCUUCGUCGGUGAAUAGCCGUUGGAGUGACGGUACCUUC
rnacentral:rRNA from 1 species